rnacentral:rRNA from 1 species
CCUACGGGAGGCAGCAGUAGGGAAUCUUCCGCAAUGGGCGAAAGCCUGACGGAGCAACGCCGCGUGAGUGAUGAAGGGUUUCGGCUCGUAAAACUCUGUUAUUAGGGAAGAACAAAUGUGUAAGUAACUGUGCACGUCUUGACGGUACCUAAUCAGAAAGCCACGGCUAACUACGUGCCAGCAGCCGCGGUAAU